rnacentral:rRNA from 1 species
UACAGAGGUCUCGAGCGUUGUUCGGAUUCAUUGGGCGUAAAGGGUGCGUAGGUGGCGCUGUAAGUCGGGUGUGAAAUCCUGGGGCUUAACCCCGGAACUGCAUUCGAUACUGCCGUGCUUGAGGACUGGAGAGGAGACUGGAAUUUACGGUGUAGCGGUGAAAUGCGUAGAUAUCGUAAGGAAGACCAGUGGCGAAGGCGGGUCUCUGGACAGUUCCUGACGUGAGGCACGAAGGUCAGGGGAGCAAACGGG